AUGGAAGAAUUUGAACAAUUUUCUUGUAUCUACAUAACCUAUAAUAAGCUUUUAUUAUUAUUACAGAACAGAUUAUUAGCUUACAUGUCCAUUUUAAAUGAAAAAAGAUCUGUAGCAAUUGCAAAAUAGAGAUGGAUAGCAAUAAUAACAAGCAGUUUACAUGCAUUCGACCGAACUUGCAAAAACUGGCAGAUAAUAUAUCAAAUUUAUUACCUAAAAACUCAGCCACAGUUUAUGAAAAGCGGUAUGAAUUUUUUUUUGCGCAGAAACAACCAUGCAAAAUAUAUGGAGAACACCUCAUUGCAUACGAGUAUUUCGCUGAAAAAGCAAAUUCUGUGAAAUCUUUAACACUUUGGGCUGCAUAGUCGUAGUUAAAGUCAACUCUGUUAAUAAAAAACAGCAUAGAUAUAUCUAAGUACACCAAGUUUUCAAGCAAAAAAUAUAGGUUACAUUGCCAAGAAAUCAAAUAUAUUUACAAGAGAAGACUUACCAAAAUUUUUAACAGAAGCCCGUGAUUAAAUGUACCUGAUGUUAAAGGUUUAUUUUUUAUUAGAAGUUGUAGGAGCAUGUGGAAUGGAUAAAUUGAAAAAUAAUGACGGCAUUCAAGACAAAAACGAUACGCUAAUAAUUAAAAUUCCAACGUCUAAAACUGGCAAAGCACGAGAAUUUACAAAUAUGUGUAAAAAUAUUUAUCCAAUUGAAGUAUAGUAAAAAUACCUAAUUUUAAGACUGCACCAGACAAAUUAUUUAUACAUUACAUUUGGAUAGUGAAUACAGCAGCUGCUGCAUUGUACAAAUAUACCUGCAAACACACUGUAACAAAUUAUGCAGACACCUCUUUUGACUAAAAGAUAUAUAUUUAACUUUAUCCAUACGUUGUCAACUUUGUUAAUAAUUGCAAUCUCUAACUUCAUAAGAAAUAUGAAUAAUCUACUUUGGUGUUUUAUAGUAGUAU